UAUGAAAGAAAAUAUUCAAGAACACAGCAAUGUUCUGGGACAGCCAAUACUCAGUUGUUCAGUUUCAUCUACUCAUACCUAUUUUCUAAAAGAUUCAUGAAUUGUUUUAUAUUAACUCAUGUUGAUUUUGUAACCGGGAUUUGACUAGAAGAAAUUAUAAAAACAAACAUCUAACAAACCAUGGAGCUAUAUCCUAAUGACUGAUAAUACAUACUGUAGCUAAUAUCUUCAGGCAUGUGGAUAUUUUGAGAAUAUAUUCAUGUAUAGCCCCUAGUACUUUAAACACCAAAAUAUCCAGUUCCCAUGUAGUUUUAUUGAAACUUGCCUUCUCGAAUGCAAAAAUAGGUUGACUAAUGAGUCAGCUUAGAAUAAAAAUACAGUUCAAAUUAUGACCGGCUUCUGUUCACUAUGCUCUCUAGGUAUAAAACUUAGUAGGUGUUGAAAGUUCAGGCUGUAUAGCAGCCACUACAAUAUUUUUAUCUCAAAGUCUUUUUACAAUUUAACACUUAUAAUUACUCUUUCAAUAACUGCAGCACGUUUUUUGAUCACUCAUAGUUGGCUUUACAACUCUGGAAACGCUGCUGUAUUUGAAAUUAAUUAAGACAGAUUUAUUGGAAGAAAAUGGAUACUGCCAAACAACUCGUGCUUGCCCUAAAACAUAAUAAUAAAUCUCACGUUGGUUACGGACUACAACGCGAGAGUGAAGCCCUUGUAAGCCACAUUUUACAGAACAUGGUAAAAUCCAAACUUCCACCUUUUAAGCCAAAAUUAAAGAACAGAGAAGACUCUAUAAGGUAUCGAGAGGAAGGUAAUCAAAAAUUUGUAUCCGGAGAAGAUAUAGAAGCCAUAGAGAGUUAUACGAAGAGUUUAGCAUAUGCAGAUAGCCCAGAGCUGAUGGCUUAUGCCUAUGCAAAUCGUUCAGCAGCUUUGUAUCGGAAGCAAUAUUAUAAGGAGUGUUUGAUGGACCUGAAUACUGCUCUCUCUUUGGGAUACCCUGAAGAGAAAAAACAGAAAUUAAAAGAAAGAGGAGAUAAAGCAUUAGCAGAAAUAUCUAGGCUGUCAGACACCAAAAGUGAAGAGAUUGCAUUGGAUGAAGACAAGAUAAAAAAUACAAACGUCAAAGAAGAAAAUGAAGAUAAAGAAAAAUGUCCAUUCAACACAAACGGGGAAAGUGAAACAAGUAAAAAGUUUCCAUUAAUAAAAACUGUGGAGCCAGAAACUGAGUCUAAAGAUCAAUUACUCACUGGAUCAGGGACUAAAACUAUAAGCACUGUAUCCGAAAUUUUUAACAUUUCCAAACAUUCUGACAAUGAAAAACCUAGAUAUUUGGUGGAGGAUGGUCCUCCAGCACUUGCUUAUGGUCCGAAUGAUGAAGCUCCAUCAGCUAGUGAUGGAGUAGCAAUUUCAUUUUCUGAAAAAUAUGGGAGACACCUGAUAGCUAUUAAGGAAUUUGAACCCGGAGAUGUUAUUGCUGUUGAGGAUCCCUUUGCGUCUGUCAUUUAUCAGGAAAGGUACUACACGCAUUGCAGUCAUUGUCUUUCCAAAUGCUACAACAUGAUUCCUUGCCUUCAUUGUCCUAUGGCCCAAUACUGUUCAAACCAAUGUCGGAAAUCAGCCUGGACUUUGGCACACCGAAUUGAAUGUCAAAUUAUAUCUCUAUUGCCCAGUUUGCUCAACGUUGACACAGACAAAAUAAGAAUGCUAACUAAAAUCAUGAGACUAUUGAUCAAAGUAACGCAAAAUGGAACAGCUAUUAAUGAGCUGCGGAAGGAUAUGAAGGUAGCAGAAUCGAAUUCAGAUAGUAGAACUGCUGGCUUCACAGACAAUGGAAAGUUGGAGAGCUUUAAUGGUCGCUCAGCACUGUCUCUUGCGACUAAUAUGACAACGAGACCAUUAAUUGGAAUAAGUGCAUUUGCGUGUAUCUCAUCUCUGGCAGUGAUAUUGAUGGCUGUAGAAACCAGUUUUUUCAAAAAAAAAUACAAACUUGAAGAGUUAAGGGAUAUUUCCAAAUUUCCAGACAUCGGAUUCUGUGGCGCAAUUAUGCUUCGAGCCUGUGUGAUUAUGUCCUCGAACUGCUUUUCUGUGCAACAGGAGCCAGGCUUGAAAUCUGGGUCCGGCCUCUAUGUUCUUCAUAGCCUGCAGAAUCACUCUUGUACACCAAAUACCUUUAGGCAUUUUGAGAACUUAACAAUGAUCACCAGAGCAGUGGAGCCCAUUCAUGUAGGCGAUCAGAUUUUUACUUGCUAUGGUACUGCUCAUGGAUACAUGUCAAAGAGUGAGCGUAAAAAAAAAAUAUUAGAAGAGUAUUUCUUUGAAUGUGAAUGUCCAGCUUGCUACAAUGACUGGCCCACAUAUAAAGAGAUUCUACAGAAUCACAUCGGAUCAAUAUCGAAGAACAAAGAAUUAGUGCAGAAGCUAAAACCAUUCAAGGAAAGAUUACUGAAAAAUAAUCACGACGUUGAUGCAGUUAAGAGUGUUUUAAAGAUCCUAGACAAGGAAGUAACAAAGCCAUGUGAGGAAGUCGUUCAUGCUGUUCAAUUUUUGAAAAGCUAUUACUUAGGUACAGACUUGUUUGCGGCUGAGUACGAGGAGUGACAAUGCAUCAAUCAUCGACAAUCUAGACACUGUACUUGGGAUACCAGUCAUUACUUAUCGAUAGCUAUGAAUUUUAUGGUAUAGAAUUCAUCAUUUAAACUAUUCGAUUUUUACUUUGGGCUGACCAGAUUGUUGCUAAAUCUAUGCACAAUACGGCAUUUUUCACAAAAUUCAUUCGUCACGUUAUAAAUGAAAGUACUAAAGAUGGGUCGAAUUAAACAUGGAAAAUCAACACAGGCAACUUCAAAUUCUAUUAACUAAGUUUGAGAUUAGUUCAAGUACUCAAAGAGCAAAGGAUAUCUCAAUACAUACUCGAAUUCUUUGGGAAGCAUUUUUAUGAAUUGAAACCUUGCUUCCACGCUCUGAGAAGAAGAAUUGAGUAACGUACUGAAUAUUCGUGUGUAUUUACAAGAUUGAAGAAGCUAAACCCAAAGCAAAAAUUUAGAUGUCGCAUGGAACCACUUAAGAGGGAAGUGCAUUAAAAUACAGAAGACUUGUCUUGGUCGUUGUAGUAUGAAAUAGCGAUAGGAU